rnacentral:rRNA from 1 species
GACGAACGCUGGCGGCGUGCUUAACACAUGCAAGUCGAACGGAAAGGCCCUGCUUUUGUGGGGUGCUCGAGUGGCGAACGGGUGAGUAACACGUGAGUAACCUGCCCUUGACUUUGGGAUAACUUCAGGAAACUGGGGCUAAUACCGGAUAGGAGCUCCUGCUGCAUGGUGGGGGUUGGAAAGUUUCGGCGGUUGGGGAUGGACUCGCGGCUUAUCAGCUUGUUGGUGGGGUAGUGGCUUACCAAGGCUUUGACGGGUAGCCGGCCUGAGAGGGUGACCGGCCACCUUGGGACUGAGAUACGGCCCAGACUCCUACGGGAGGCAGCAGUGGGGAAUAUUGCACAAUGGGGGGAAGCGUGAGGCAGCAACGCCGCGUGCGGGAUGACGGCCUUCGGGUUGUAAACCGCUUUCGCCUGUGACGAAGCGUGAGUGACGGUAAUGGGUAAAGAAGCACCGGCUAACUACGUG